rnacentral:rRNA from 1 species
GACGAACGCUGGCGGCGUGCUUAACACAUGCAAGUCGAACGGAAAGGCCCUGCUUUUGUGGGGUGCUCGAGUGGCGAACGGGUGAGUAACACGUGAGUAACCUGCCAUUGACUUUGGGAUAACUUCAGGAAACUGGGGCUAAUACCGGAUAGGAGCUACUGCUGCAUGGUGGGGGUUGGAAAGUUUCGGCGGUUGGUGAUGGACUCGCGGCUUAUCAGCUUGUUGGUGGGGUAGUGGCUUACCAAGGCUUGGACGGGUAGCCGGCCUGCGAGGGUGACCUGCCAAAUUGGACCUGAGAUACGGCACAGACUACUCCGGGAGGCAGCAGUGGGGAAUAUUGCACUAUGGGCGGAAGCCUGAUGCAGUAACGCCGCGUGGGGGAUGACGGCCUUCGGUUUGUAAACCGCAUUCGCCUGUGACGAGGCGUGAGUGACGGUAAUGGGUAAAGAAGCACCGGCUAACUACGUG